rnacentral:rRNA from 1 species
AAUAUUGCGCAAUGGAGGGAACUCUGACGCAGCGACGCAGCGUGAGCGAUGAAGGUUUUAUGAUCGUAAAGCUCUUUCCUUGGGGAAGAAUGCGGACCUUUAUGGCCACUUGACGGUACCCUAGGCGGCAACGCCUGCUAACUACGUACCAGCAGACGCGGUAAUACGUAGGGGGCAAGCGUUGUCCGGAAUUAUUGGGCGUAAAGGGUGCGUAGGCUGCCUUUUAAGUCAGAUGUGAAAGACCAGGGCUUAACCGUGGGGUUGCAUUUGAAACUGGAGGGCUUGAGUAUCGGAGAGGGUAGUGGAAUUCCCAGUGUAGCGGUGGAAUGCGUAGAUAUUGGGAGGAACACCAGUGGCGAAGGCGACUACCUGGACGAAAACUGACGCUGAGGCACGAAAGCUAGGGGAGCAAACA